CCUCUCCAUCUUCACCGCCAUCUCCAACUUCACCUCCGCCGCCUCCUUCACCUCCACCGCCACCUUUCAACUGCAACCUCCAUGAACGUCCACCCACCUCCACCAUCCCCUCCACCUUCUCCUCCUAUACCUCUCCACCUUUGUCACCUCCUCCACCUCCGUUGUCUUCAUUUCCGCCGCUUUUACUGCCAAUUUAAAGUCAUUGCGAUUUUAUUUAUAUAUCAGAUCUCUUUUAAGCAAAUAUUUUACAAAUUUAUCGAAUUCCAUAUUUCAUUUCACUUUUACAAUUUUGUAAUUUUUUAUUUCAUUUUUAUGGUAUAUAGUUAUGUACUUUCAUUAUGUCAUGUACUCACUCGCAAUCCCACCGGUCAUGUUCAAUCUUAAUCAAGUGUCAUCUCCUUUUACCCUCUCUUUCUCUCCUUUCACUCUCUUUGCUUAAUCGAGCAUCUCACGAAUUCACAUCUUUCGUUAGCUUCAACAUGUAAUCCUCCACCCUCCAAACCCAACUCUCCGACAUGACUAAACUCGUCCCCGUUGGCAAUUUACGGUGGUGCAAAACUCUGGCUAUCCCAUCUAAUUCAUCUUUUUAGGAUGUUGAAUAAUCUAUGACGACAGGGGCGCUGCUGCGUGGACUCACACAGGUGAAGUUGUUACUCUGCAUCUACAAAUCCACAUUGUUUACAAUCAACUCAUUAAAUGAGUGGAUUAUUAAGUCAAAUCUCAAAAUAUAAACUACAAUUAAAUGGUUGAUAACGGUUGAUUUCAUGGUUGAUUUAUUGAUAUUAUUACUAGCCCCGCAUGGGCACUCAUUUUAGCAUUUGCAACUGUUUGCAACUUAUUUUGCAAUUAAAUGUAAUUUUAAACCGAUUUUUUCAAAUUUGCAUUUGUGGUUGCAUUACAUAUAUGACUACUAGCAGUUGCAAAUAUGGUUGCAUAUGCAACAUCCGUAUUUUUGCAAAUAUUUUUUGGAACAUAGUAUUUUUAUAAUUUAUAUUAAAAGUGACAGUAUUUUUGCAAACAUUCUUUUAAACAUGAAUAUUAAUGAAAAAUAUUAUGUAUUAUAUAUUGUCUUACUUUAUAGUUAAAAGUCAU
rnacentral:lncRNA from 1 species